GAUUACCGCUUCGCAUUAGAUUUUAAGCCUCGCAGCGGACUUGGAAAGUCUGUCAUGUCGUUUGUUGCCCGAUUAUUGAAAAGAAGAGGGGAAAGUGGAUUGAGUUAAACAGGGCUCCAGAAGGUACUAGAAAAGGACAAUGCUUCGACUGAAUGUGUCAUCCAUGUACCAUUAUCUGUUAAUGGGGUUUAUCUCAUAGUUUUCUUAUAUGAAAACUUCCAAGUAAUAGAUGAUGGAAUUCAUUUUAAAUCAGUUUGCACCAUUCCGCUACAAAUACCUAGUACUUUGCCGAUGGAACAGACACCAAUCAAUCGCUCACUACACUGAUAAUUCAUUAUAAAUGGUAGGAGAAUUUCCUUUGGGACAAACAAACUGUUUCAACAUUUUUCAUAUACAAGUUGAUACUGAUGAAAUUUUGUUUGAAGUAAACUAAAGAAUGAUGAGUACUAAAAGUACAAGCCAGGUGAAAUACAAAAGGAUUGAUACAAGUCAUUUAAAAUUUUCAUUUCUUUGCAGGUAGCGAAGAGUACACUGAAAGUAUUCUCAGGAUCUCGUCCGACAUCAUAGGUACAACUGGUCACUGUGCUUUCUUGGUUAUGUAAGCAGGCUUAUUGUGAAGGCUGUGAUUUACGUAGCUCCAAUUCCAAAUGAUGCUUGACUGUUUUCCAUCAUAUCGAUAUCUGAUGCAGUAACAUAGAGCCAUGUCAUGUUUAAAUUAC